AUGGCCCUGAAUCAAGGCUGGCAGCUUCCUGAUGCUGUUGGUUUCAAGCAGGAGCCUAAAGAGAUGUCUUUAUAUAGUCUGUUGGCCAUUUUAGAACUUGGGAGUGAAAUAGUCUAUUCAUUAGAAAGAAACAGCU
ensembl:snoRNA small nucleolar RNA SNORA2/SNORA34 family